rnacentral:rRNA from 1 species
ACACGACUACAUUAGAUACCCCUGUAGUCCUAGCCGUAAACGAUACUCGCUAGGUGUCGGCCACGGUGCGACCGUUGUCGGUGCCGUAGGGAAGCCGUGAAGCGAGCCACCUGGGAAGUACGGUCGCAAGGCUGAAACUUAAAGGAAUUGGCGGGGGAGCACCACAACAGGUGGAGCCUGCGGUUUAAUUGGAUUCAACGCCGGACAUCUCACCGGAUAAGACAGCUGAAUGAUUGUCAAUCUGAAGGUUUUACAUGACUAGCUG